UGAAACCCCUGUCUCAAAAAAAAAAAAAAAAAAAAAAAUACAGUAAAGUUUAGUAUGGCCCCUGUCCAAGGAUGGCACACAAAUUUGUAAAAUGUUUCAUAGUUUU
rnacentral:snRNA from 1 species